rnacentral:rRNA from 1 species
AACCCAGACUCCUACGGGAGGCAGCAGUGGGGGAUAUUGCACAAUGGGGGAAACCCUGAUGCAGCAACGCCGCGUGAGUGAAGAAGUCUUUCGGUAUGUAAAGCUCUAUCAGCAGGGAAGAGAAUGACGGUACCUGACUAAGAAGCCCCGGCUAACUACGUGCCAGCAGCCGCGGUAAUACGUAGGGGGCGAGCGUUAUCCGGAUUUACUGGGUGUAAAGGGAGCGUAGACGGCUGGUCAAGUCUGAAGUGAAAGCCCGGGGCUUAACCCCGGAACGGCUUUGGAAACUGGGCAGCUAGAGUGCUGGAGAGGUAAGCGGAAUUCCUAGUGUAGCGGUGAAAUGCGUAGAUAUUAGGAGGAACACCAGUGGCGAAGGCGGCUUACUGGACAGUAACUGACGUUGAGGCUCGAAAGCGUGGGGAGCAAACAGGAUUAGAUACCCCAGUAAC